GGGGAUGUUGGGUCUUGAUAGAAUGCAAUCUGGUAAAUCUGCAAGCCGAGGCGCCUGAACUCGUCCGACCUUUGUCGGACUCCGACUACGGUCGGAGUUAAACACGGGCAAACAAAUUUAACUGCCAACAAUAAAGUUGCAGCUCCGGCUCUGGCAUACGCCUGAAGACCGGCAUCGGCCCCUGACGCCUAAUAGGGAACAACCGGUGUAAUAAAUUAGGCUCGCUCGCGGUGAAACGGUUCAAUAGCCGCGGGCCAAAUCAUAGAACCAUCCUGUUCUCGGUUUACCGGGAAAUAAGCUUGUAGACGAUUCAUUAGGUUCACUCUACACGCGAGUUCAACUCUCGCCAUCUCCACAA
rnacentral:tmRNA from 1 species